rnacentral:lncRNA from 1 species
CCACGCACACCAUGCCUUGACCUAUUCGUUGCCAGUCGUGCGAGAUCCAAUCCGCCAAUCGGCGCGCCACCAUGGACAAAGAAAAGCAGUAUGUCGCCGUGAGUGAAACCAUGUCCAUCCUUUGAUUUGGCCUAGCGAAUCAGACCGAUGGUGAAGCACAAGGAGCGGGGGAGGUGUGUGUGGGGAUUCCUAACCGUGGGGAGGCCCAAAUCAACCACAAUUUCUCGACGGAGCUGGGAAACCGCCGCCGUGCCGCAUGAUGUCGGUAUUGGGCCUCUACGACAUGCGAUUCCUAGGUAUGAAGUCCUUACCGAUUUCCUUAAGCCCCUAGCUGCGUUCAACACGAUUUUGUAUGGAGUUUGGUCCACUGUAGUGUCGAUCCCGUGGUCGCCGGCAUGACCGCCGCCGUGCACUAGGUGCCUGCCGCGUCCGACUGCUUUUGUGGGGAAGAGAAUCUGGUGAGCGUUGGAUCCUUUAUGUAGGGUUGUAGUAUGGGGGUGUGGUUGGUCGUUGGAUCGAGCGCGGGCGCUCCGGAUCAGACGAAUGGUGACCCCUUCGAAUGUUGAAAUCACGACCGUUGAUUACUGAUCCAACACACCUUGUAGCAUAUCCUUUCGGGUUAUAACUGAGUACAUUGGAUCUGGAUCGUGCGGCCGAGAUCUAGGGAUACCCCUUCAGCCGACCCAUCUUACAAAAGAGCCCCUGAUGUUGUUAAUAAAUAACCCGCCAUUCCCCGCAGGAUAAACAUGAGUCUUAGAGAAAGAUAUGAAUUAGCCCCUGGGUUUCUGUUUAUUUCACGCACAACCCAGAGUUUUGGUAAAUUAGGGAAAAGAUUUAUAAAUUGAUUUUUGAAUAUAGAAAUAAUCGCAGAAACUUAUUUAAUUCCUAGAAAAUUCAUAUUAACUCCUUUUUAGUCCAUUCUAGUUCCUAUAAUUUUGUUUUAUUAUUGUUCAUCACUCAGUAACACUGUUUUAGUAUGAAACUCAUAAUAGAAUUUAUCUCAUAAUUAAUCUCGUAUCAAAUGCAUAAAACCUUCGGAAAUUCUUAACUCCUCCGUUUUAAUUCCGAAUUGACUCGUUCUAGUUGUGUUAGCUUCAUAUAAAUAUUUACUACACAAUAACAACAUCAAUUAUACCAUGUCGCAUACUUUUAUAUUUAUUUAUCCUAUGUCUACUAGACUACCUCUUCUAAAUCAAAUUUAACCUGUCCAUAACUAUAAUAUGAUUAAAGCAUGAUCUCUAGUCAAGCUAUGAUUAAAGUUUAAGUUGAAUUAAUUAUUUAUUUAUGGAAUAAUCUAUCAUAUGAUAUAGACUAACCAACUUAUAAUAUAGUUUAAUAUUUAAAUCACAUAGAUCUUCUAUAAAAUCGUAACUCCUUAAUCGUAACUCCGAUCUUACUAGUUCUCGAUCCCAUGAUCUCGUAGCAACGCGUAGAUUACUACUAUGCAGUUUGUUAUUAUGUUUGGUGUGAUGUUAAUUUUGUCUAUACCAUGUUAGCUUGUAUUGCUACGACUAGCAGUGAGGUCACGAGAAUCUAAAGAUCAUCAUGGUACUUGGAAUCUCAAGUCCCAAGCAAGUUGUGCCCUUGAUCACUUUUAUUACCCAACAAUGUUCUCUAUAAUCAUUUUAUCAUGCAUAGGCUUAAUUUUUAUGGGACCCAAUAGGUUGCCCUAGACUGCUUAUCUUUUUACCUUGUUCACCCCUGAAUCAUUUUGGUAGUUUUGCUAUUGCUCUAUGGUUUUGGGUUUAAUAUUAUAUUAUAUCCAUGUUCCAAUUAUUCUGUUAUUAUAUUUAUGUUCAUGUCAAGAUCAUUAUUGUAAUUGGAACAUGGAGCUUAACUUGGAGAAACACGUGCCACUACAAGGGUGGAAUAGGACGCCCUUGGCUGACUAACUAGGAAAGCUAGUGGAAGACUACCUUACCCGAAAGGGGCAAGGGCAGUAGGGGAGUAGGCACGCAGGGAGGUUCUCGAGUUGAUUUUGCUGCGAUGGCGGUCAGACGAGGGAUUUUUGCAAGUGCUCUUCCCAUAAACUGUAGCGGGUUUUUGGAAGCUAGUGGAACUAGGUAAAGGCCUCGUAGUGUUACCCUACCUCGCUUCCUUGGUAGAGGUGUACGGGAUUCAUGACCUCUUGGCAGAUGGGUAACAUGGCUUGUGGGUAAAGGGUACAACCUCUGCAGAGUGUAAAAACUGGUAUACUAGCUGAGCUCACGGUCAUGAGCAGCUCAGGACUCUCGCAAGAUUAAACUAUGGAACUAAAUUCAGUUUGUCAUUUGCAUUGCAUGGGAUUAUUUAUUGAUUUUGUUCUAUUAUUAUUAUAGUUUGGUAUUUACUUACAUCUAGUAAUUGCUAAUAAAAUUUUGACCAACUUUAAAAGCAAUGCUCAACUUUAACCAUUCUCUUUGGUAAGCCUUACACCUCACAUGAGCUCCCACCUUUAGUGAGUUCAUGCACAUUAUUCCCCACAACUUGUUGAGCAUUGAACAUGUGUGACCUCACCCUUGCUGUCUCACACCCCCCAUAGGAGAAGAAUAGGUGGUUCAAGAAGAGCCACACAACGAGGAGUUUGACUUAAUCUAGGUGGCGUCUCCCAGUUGACUUAUUGGCGCCAAGGAUGGAUUUUAGUUUGUUUUAUAUUUAUCUUUCAUUUUGUAAGACUUCUGCUAUAUAAUAAGUACUCUGAUGUUAUUGUGACAUUUAUCUCUAUACACAUCUGUUAUUAUAUGUGUUGUCUUCUUUGGCGCAUAUAUGAGAUGCACCCGGCUUUGUCCCUUAAAUCCGGGUGUGAUAGGCACUCCAGUCCUCAACGUCGCACGUGUGGAGCAGAAGAAAGGGGAAGUUGGGCCGCCAUCCGAAUUCGGCCCAGUACGGCUGAGUUUGAUUUUUCUUUUGAUUCUCGAUUUCUUUUCUAUUUUUUCCAAAUCCAAGUGCUCAAAUGAAUUUGAAUUCCUAGUUUGAAUCUCAGACUUUUAAAUACCAAAUAAGAUUCUAAUGUGAAUGGUACUACCCCUUUAUGCCAUAAUUAUUAUUUAGUUAUUAUUAUAAUAAUUAUUCAUCCUCCAUUCUUUAAUUCUUUGGCUCCCAUAUUAUAUAGUGUACUAUUUUGGACUCAAGUCUAGUCUUAAUUCAUUUAUAACUUUAUAUUGGAUGCAUAGACAAAAAAUAUCCAGCAUGAUGCAUAGAAUAUUUUAUUAAUUAUUUGUUUUCUUAAAUAUGGUUAUGCUCAUGUUCUAUCUUGUGGAUGGCAAAACAUGUAGUACAAUUAAUUCUUUUCCUUCUCUAUUACAAAUUGGGUAUUACAACUAACUCGCGGUCCGAUAAAAAUUAAAAGAAAUUUAAUUCAGGUCCUGUUUUUGUGGUUUAAACCCUGCUCUUUCAGGUAACAGAAGCCACCGUCCAAAGACUCUAUUAAAUUAUGAAAAUCGAAUCCGAAGUUGAUUUCUAAUAUAAAUAAUUCCUAAACAUAGAAAAUUCAUAUUUUCUUCGUUUUAACUCUAAUUUAAUCCGUUCAAGUUGCAUUUGCUUCGUAAUAAAAUUAUCCACUUGUUAAAACAUUAUGUCAUCUAUUUUCAAGAAUAGUUAAGUGUUGGUUUACUAGGUUAACUUAUCUAAUCAAAGUGAAAUGUGAUACUUUAAUUUGAUCUAUGAUCAUAAUUUGACUAAAAUAUGAUUCUAAUCAAGUUAUAAUUUAGAAUAAAACUAAAUUAAUGUUUUCUUCAGAAUAUCUUUCUCACAUGAUUUAUUAAUCAACAUAGACAUAGUUUUCAUAUUUAAUCACAUAAAACUUAUGAAAACCAUAUCGUUUCAACCAUAACUCUGAAUUUAGAGAUUCUCAAACAUACGAUUCUGUAGCGAGACGUAGAAUAAUAUUACGUGGUUCAUUCUCUUGCUUGGUGUGAUGUUAAUUUUGUCCAUACAAUGUUUGUUUGUAUUGGUGCGAGUAGACGAGCCAGCCACUGAGGAACCUAGAGCACAACAGGUUGAGGAUCCUGAACAGGAGCUCAUGGAAGGCAAGUUGUGCCCUUGAUCACCCUUCUUUACCCAAUAAUGUUUUUGUUAAUCACUAUGAUAUGCUCAAGAUAAUCUGAUGGGACCUAAUAGGUUACCCUAGUUUGGUUUACUUCACACCUUGUGUGCCACUGAACUAUUGGGUAGUAUCUGUUAUUGCGCUAUGUGAUUUUGGGUGUUAAGAUACAUAUGAUUCAUGAUCAUGCUUUAUUAUUGUUUUAGAUUAUUUUUUGGUCAUGACAAGGUUAUUAUGUUAAUUGGAACAUGGAGCUUAACUUGAGAUAACUGUGCUACCACAAGGGUGGAAUGGGACGCCCUUGGUUGACUAAUUAGGAAAGCUAGUGGAGGACUACCUUACCCAAAAGGGGCAAGGGCGAUAGAGGAGUUGCUGGUGUAAGGAGGUUCUCGGGUUGAUCAUGCUGCGAUGGCUUUUUGGGCGAGGGAUUCAUAUAUCGCUCUUCUCACGAAAUCGUAGCGGCCUCGUAGUGGAUCCCUAGCCAUUCACCUCGGGAGUGUCUAAGGGCCUUGCAAACCCUGGCUAGAUGGGAUACACGACUUGUGGUUAAAGGGCUCAACUUCUGGAAAGUGUAAAAUUGGUAUACCAGCCACGCUCACGGUCAAGAGAGACUUAGGACUCUCGCAUGAUUAAUUUAUGGAAUUAAACUUAAUCUAUCAUAUGCAUUGCAUUGUGGGAUUUAUUAUAAUUGUGAUCUCUUAUUUUAUUGGGCUAGUAUACACUUAUACUUAGUAACCGCUAAUAAAAUUUGACGAACUUAUUAAAAUUAAUGCUUAGCUUUAACCAUUAUUUGUUGAUCAGCCUUACACUAUACAUGAGCCCCACCGUAAGUGAGCUCAUGCACAUUAUUCCCCACACUUGCUGAGCGAUAAACUUUUUUGAGCUCACUUUUGCGAUAAACCCUAGGUGAAGAGCAGGUGCCAUCGGAGGAGGACUAGUAUGAUGAGUUCGACGAGGUCUAGGUGUCAUCUCCCAAUUAGCUUGACAGCGCUGAGGAAAUAAUAUUAUUAGUUCGAUUUAUUUAUUAUCAGUUAUUUUGUAAGACAUUUUCGUUAUAUAAUAAAGUUCAUGACAUUCGUCUCUAUACACUGAGUCAUUGUAUGUGUUCAUCUUCUUUGGCGCACAUAUGAGACGCACUCAGGUUUACCCCUUAAAUCUAAGAGUGACAUAGUUCACCCUGUAGUCUUGUGGCAUGCAUGCAAGGGGUGGCACAUCGGUGCAGGGAUGGCUCUUGUGAAUGGUCCAUUUGUUCACCAUCACCACCCUGCAGUCUUGAUGUUUAGCCAAACAGGAGAGAUGACCUUAGAAAAAGGCAAUGCAAGUGUCUAUAGUCACCCAUGGAUAAAUUAGAAACUAGUCAGAUGUUCGUGUAUUGCUACAACUUCUAUAUAUCAUAUGUGUUGAUGUCGAUCUGGGUGCCAAUCACUGGGGAUGUACCGUCUAGCGGUGCCAUCUUUGGCACAAGAGCGACACUUUUGCUGCAUGCCUCCGAACGGUCCACGCUCUUGGAUAGACUGUCCGUGAUGGUGCAUGGUUGUCUUCCUCCUCACAGAAACCUAGAUCUCGCCCCCUAGGGGAGAUAUCUUAGGGUGCUCCGGGUCGGUAGGUCACUCAGGGCGUAUCCAGAUGACAUAGAGUCACCUAGGGCACUCGAUUUCACUCCGAGGAUCAGAUCUUAAGUUAAGUAAUCAAGUCAAGGAAGAGAUCUUGAGUGCAGUGGAUCUUGCCCCUGGGGAGGGGUAAGAUCCUUGGGUCGUCUUGGGAUCAGUAGGCCACCCCACACAGAUCUAGAUGACGUAGAGUCGAAUAGGGGUGGAGGCGGAUAUGUGGAAAGCUACAACUAGAUUAUGCUACAUCUACUCCUAGGGCAUGAAUGACAAAGGAAUGAUAAAUAAAGUAAUUGGUUCAAUUGGAAUGUGUUCUGGGGUUUUCAAUCGGAUGUACCCCUUCAUAUAUAUAGUGGUGGUCUGGACCUAUUCCUAAGCGAUAGAUAACAAAUCCAACAUGAAUAGAUGGAUCCGAGAUAAGGAUAAUCGCUCGAGUUAAUCUGAUCGCGGCGACACGGACCGUCCGGGCCCUAGGGCCGGACCGUCCGACACUUUUGCUGUUCAACACAUGCCCCUUGCCUUUUGGUAGAGCUUGGUGAACAAAAAGUACGAGCGCACUUUGAAAACAAUAGAUAUGAUGAGUUAUUUUGUGUAAAGCCCAAAAUUUGGAAGGAUUAAAAAAUAUAUAUAAUAAGGUUUUGGAAAUUGUGGAUCCUUGGGGGAUUAUUUUGGUUCCUUUUCUUCUUUUGCAUCUCCAAAUAAUGGGACCAAUCUAAGAUAAAUAACAAUUAUAUAAAAAAAGAAAUAUGCAUUUAUAUUUAAAUGGAUAACACA